CCUACGGGGGGCUGCAGUAGGGAAUCUUCCGCAAUGGACGAAAGUCUGACGGAGCAACGCCGCGUGAGCGAAGAAGGUCUUCGGAUCGUAAAGCUCUGUUGUUAGGGAAGAACAAGUACGGGAGGAAAUGACCGUACCUUGACGGUACCUAACGAGGAAGCCACGGCUAACGACGGGGCAGCAGCCGCGGUAAGACGUAGGUGGCAAGCGUUGUCCGGAAUUGUUGGGCGUAGAGGGCGCGGAGGCGGUCUUUUAAGGCUGAAGUGAAAUCUUGCGGCUCAAACGCAAGCGGUCAUUGGAAACUGGGAGGCUUGAGUGCAGAAGAGGAAAGCGGAAUUCCACGUGUAGCGGUGAAAUGCGUAGAGAUGGGGAGGAACACCAGUGGCGAAGGCGGCUUUCUGGUCUGUAACUGACGCUGAGGCGCGAAAGCGUGGGGAGCAAACAGGAUUAGAUACCCUGGUAGUC
rnacentral:rRNA from 1 species